UACGGAGGUGGCAAGCGUUGUUCGGAAUUACUGGGCGUAAAGGGCGCGUAGGCGGGGAGGUAAGUCGGGUGUGAAAUCCCUCGGCUCAACCGAGGAACGGCGCUCGAAACUGCUUCUCUUGAGUCCCGGAGAAGAAGGUGGAAUUCCCGGUGUAGCGGUGAAAUGUGUAGAGAUCGGGAGGAACACCGGUGGCGAAGGCGGCCUUCUGGACGGUGACUGACGCUGAGGCGCGAAAGCGUGGGGAGCAAACGGG
rnacentral:rRNA from 1 species